rnacentral:ncRNA from 1 species
UAGUGAUCGGUGAAGAAGAGAGUAGUACAGGUGACUUUAAAAGCGAGUUGGGGAUGGUGAAAGCCCAAUGAAAAAAUCUUGUACGAAGCGCACUUCUGAGAUGUUACCUGAAAAAAGUAGGGCUAACCGGAAAAGAUUCCGUUAUCAGAUGAGUGGUUCAAAUAUGAACAACUAGAGUGGUACCGCGGAAAAAAAGCAUUUCGUCUCUAAC